GACGAACGCUGGCGGCGUGCCUAAUACAUGCAAGUUGAGCGCUGAAGGUUGGUACUUGUACCAACUGGAUGAGCAGCGAACGGGUGAGUAACGCGUGGGGAAUCUGCCUUUGAGCGGGGGACAACAUUUGGAAACGAAUGCUAAUACCGCAUAAAAACUUUAAACACAAGUUUUAAGUUUGAAAGAUGCAAUUGCAUCGCUCAAAGAUGAUCCCGCGUUGUAUUAGCUAGUUGGUGAGGUAAAGGCUCACCAAGGCGAUGAUACAUAGCCGACCUGAGAGGGUGAUCGGCCACCUUGGGACUUGGACACGGCCCAAACUCCUACGGGAGGCAGCAGUAGGGAAUCUUCGGCCAUGGACGAAAGUCUGACCGAGCAACGCCGCGUGAGUGAAGAAGGUUUUCGGAUCGUAAAACUCUGUUGGUAGAGAAGAACGUUGGUGAGAGUGGAAAGCUCAUCAAGUGACGGUAACUACCCAGAAAGGGACGGCUAACUACGUG
rnacentral:rRNA from 1 species